rnacentral:rRNA from 1 species
CAGUAGCCGCGGUAAUACCAGGGGGGCAAGCGUUGUUCGGAAUUAUUGGGCGUAAAGGGUGCGUAGGCGGUUUGGCAAGUUUGGUGUGAAAUCUUCGGGCUCAACUCGAAGUCUGCAUCGAAAACUGCCGGGCUUGAGUAUGGGAGAGGUGAGUGGAAUUUCCGGUGUAGCGGUGAAAUGCGUAGAUAUCGGAAGGAACACCUGUGGCGAAAGCGGCUCACUGGACCAUAACUGACGCUGAUGCACGAAAGCUAGGGGAGCAAACAGGAUUAGAUACCCCCGUAGUCCCUGUCUCUUAUAC